rnacentral:sRNA from 1 species
GCUGGGUGUGGUGGGGCACACCUGUAAUCCCAGUGGCUUGGGAGACUGAGACAGGAGGAUCCCUAGUUCAAAGCCAGCCUCAUCAGCUUAGUGAGGCCCUAAGCAACUCAGUGAGACCCUGUCUCUA